rnacentral:rRNA from 1 species
UACGAAGGGGGCUAGCGUUGCUCGGAAUCACUGGGCGUAAAGCGCACGUAGGCGGGUUGCCAAGUCGGGGGUGAAAUCCUGGAGCUCAACUCCAGAACUGCCUUCGAUACUGGCGAUCUUGGAGUCCGGGAGAGGUGAGUGGAAUUCCUAGUGUAGAGGUGAAAUUCGUAGAUAUUAGGAAGAACACCAGUGGCGAAGGCGGCUCACUGGUCCGGUACUGACGCUGAGGUGCGAAAGCGUGGGGAGCAAACAGG